UACGUAGGGUGCGAGCGUUAAUCGGAAUUACUGGGCGUAAAGGGCGCGUAGGCGGCCUGUUAAGUCGAACGUGAAAUCCCCGGGCUCAACCCGGGAACUGCGUCCGAAACUGGCAGGCUCGAAUUCGGGAGAGGGAUGCGGAAUUCCAGGUGUAGCGGUGAAAUGCGUAGAUAUCUGGAGGAACAUCGGUGGCGAAGGCGGCAUCCUGGACCGAUAUUGACGCUGAGGCGCGAAAGCCAGGGGAGCAAACGGG
rnacentral:rRNA from 1 species